CGGAGGAUGCAAGCGUUAUCCGGAAUGAUUGGGCGUAAAGCGUCCGCAGGUGGCAGUGUAAGUCUGCUGUCAAAGGUCAGGGCUUAACCCUGAACAGGCAGUGGAAACUACACAGCUAGAGUGCGGUGGGGGCAGAGGGAAUUCCCAGUGUAGCGGUGAAAUGCGUAGAGAUUGGGAAGAACACCGGUGGCGAAGCGCUCUGCUAGGCCGUAACUGACACUCAUGGACGAAAGCUAGGGAGCGAAUGGGAUU
rnacentral:rRNA from 1 species